rnacentral:rRNA from 1 species
UACGGGGGGGGCAAGCGUUGUUCGGAAUUACUGGGCGGAAAGGGCUCGUAGGUGGCCAACUAAGUCAGACGUGAAAUCCCUCGGCUUAACCGGGGAACUGCGUCUGAUACUGGAUGGCUUGAGUUCGGGAGAGGGAUGCGGAAUUCCAGGUGUAGCGGUGAAAUGCGUAGAUAUCUGGAGGAACACCGGUGGCGAAGGCGGCAUCCUGGACCGACACUGACACUGAGGAGCGAAAGCCAGGGGAGCAAACGGG